GCCACAGUGGACUAGCGGUUAGAACGCUGGCCUUGUAAUCCUGGGGUCUCGGGUUCGAUUCCCGGCGGUGCCC
rfam:Zootermopsis nevadensis contig4501, whole genome shotgun sequence.